rnacentral:lncRNA from 1 species
AUUAUUCAACAAUUACCAACGUGAGAAUGGACAGAAUAUUAUUCUAUUGGAUUAUUUAAAAUUUUCGAUAUGACGUCUACAGAUGAAAAAUCUCAAGAAAAUUGACCUACACUGUACGAGAAACUUUAAACGAUUGAGUGCAUUUGAAGAUGGAAAACUAAAAUACCACUGCGACCACGAGGGCUAAAAUUGCCGGAAACAGUCAUUUUUAAAACCUGAAUUUUCUUGUGGGAAAAUUUGAACGUGGAAAUUUUUUUAAAUCAAGCUAACUGUGCCGCAGUAUGACCAUUAUUAUCAACGACAUCCGCAGAAGUUUUAUCAACCAAGAGCUUCCAAACACUCAGCGACCCAGCAAGAGCUGCUCGAUGGAGUGCAGUAUAUCCA